rnacentral:rRNA from 1 species
GACGAACGCUGGCGGCGUGCUUAACACAUGCAAGUCGAACGGAAAGGCCCUGCUUUUGUGGGGUGCUCGAGUGGCGAACGGGUGAGUAACACGUGAGUAACCUGCCCUUGACUUUGGGAUAACUUCAGGAAACUGGGGCUAAUACCGGAUAGGAGCUCCUGCUGCAUGGUGGGGGUUGGAAAGUUUCGGCGGUUGGGGAUGGACUCGCGGCUUAUCAGCUUGUUGGUGGGGUAGUGGCUUACCAAGGGUUUGACGGGUAGCCGGCCUGAGAGGGUGACCGGCCACCUUGGGACUGCGAUACGGCGCAGACUCCUACGGGAGGCAGCAGUGGGGAAUAUUGCACAAUGGGCGGAAGCCUGAUGCAGCAACGCCGCGUGCGUGAUGCCGGCCUUCGGGUUGUAAACCUCUUUCGCCUGUGACGAAGCGUGAGUGACGGUAAUGGGUAAAGAAGCACCGGCUAACUACGUG